rnacentral:rRNA from 1 species
AUGCUAGCGCUCCUCGCCGCCAUCGACCUGCAAGGAGGAGCGCCGUGUUGGACGCUGCCAUCUCCGACGCUGCUGGUACUCCUCCGCCGCUACGAGUGCCCCGUCACCUGCGCCCAGGUCAAGCGCGAAGUCGAGCUCCCCAUGCUUGACCUGCAAGAUGUAAUGUGGUCAAGAACUGCUCUCUGCCGCGGGAGUAGAUUGGAAAGGCUGCUGCUGCUCCUGUACAAUGCGGUUGCUGCUGCUCCUGUACAAUGCGGCUGCUACUGCCACUACCACUCAUGA